AAAUACUUAAUGAUAGUCGCUACCCCAUAUUUCUUGUUUUCAUUAAAAUUCAUAGUUGUUGGAAUGUCAGGAUUAUCCCUAAUUUUGGAUGUUUUUAGAGUUUACAUAAUACUUCCCAGAAAAUAUCCUGAGGUCAUCCGGGCCAUUUAUCAGCCUACAGAUCAAGGUUAUGCAGCUAACCUUGUUGCAUAAUGAUCUUCUGCAUAAGAGUUGUAUAAUCUCAUCUACUCUUUUGGUCUGAAAUUUAGAGUCCUGCCCAUCUCAUUCUUACUCCAUGCUAGCCUGCACCUCUGAUGUCCACUACUUCCUUUACUGUGACCAGUAGUAGAAAAACCAGAGAGGAGGGGAGCUAAAUUUUAGUAUUUUCUAUGUUCCAGACACCCUAUACAUACCUUGGUUUUCUGGUUUUAAAUUCUCUUUAAUCUGUUUCUUCUAUUUUACUGUACUAUGAGCUCCAUAAAAGGACAAAGUCUUUUUCAUCCUUGUUCUCAGCAGUUAGUAUAGUGCCUGGCACAUAGUGGAUGUUUACUUGAUGUUUUUCAAAGGGAAGAGUGAAUCAAUAAUUGUGAUACAUUUUGUGGAGGAAAAAGUCUUGACAGGUUUUUAAGAAAGCUUUGUAACGUGUUAAAUAUAAGCAUUCUGAUUCCUGCAGACUUUGUCUCAGUCAUUCAAGUUCUUGUUAGCGCUUCCAAGCCAGACUGCCCUAUGGGGUAGGAGUACACCCGGAAGCAAACAGGUUCCUACCUCUGGGUGAGGUACAGGAUCACUGAGAAAACUCCAUUCCUGAGACCAGAGAGACAGGGUCUGGCUGAACCUGAGGCUGAAGCAGGAAUACAGAAAGCUCUUCCAGCCUCUCACUGCCCUCCCCACCCCCCGGCAAGCACCAAAUAACAAGUAGCAGGUAACAAGCAACAGAAGUGUAUGGCGGGGGGAAGGCGCAAGAGCAGGGAGAGACCACUUGUGAGGAACAAACUAAUAGAGAAGACUUAAGGUAGAAGCAGAACAUUGAGAAAAAGUCUCUAGUAAACCAAUUCUCACCCUAACCACAAGGUAAGUCCAGUGAAAUUUAAAACCAGUGGUAAAUGUAGCAACAACAAAAGACAAACCCAUCUCAAUUCCUAACUAUAUUGACUCAACCCUCUACAGGCCAGCAGAAGAGGUGUCAUAUCCAGUAAUAAAUACUAUGUAUCUCAAUCUCUACUGUUCUAUGCAUUAUGAGCAGCAAGAUAUCAGUAAGUACAAGAUAGAAAAAAGCAAAAAAGCUCUUCCAAACCCAUUGUCAAGAGACAAAGCAAUCAGAACCAGAUUUAGAGGUUGCAUGAAUAUUGGAACUAUCUGAUAGGAAAUCUAAAAUCAUUAUGAGAAAAAAUAAAAUCAUUGUGAGUAACAUGUUAACUCUCAGUGGAAAAGGUGAGGAACAGGAAUGAACAGACAAGGAAAUUAGAAGAGGGACUUCUCUGGCUGUCCAGUGGUUAAGACUCCACGCUUCUACUGCAGGGGGUGCACGUUCAGUCCCUGGUCAGGGAACUAAGAUCCCACAUGCUUUGUGGCACGGCCAAAAAAAAAAGAAAAAAAAGAAGCUAUAAGAAAGAGUCAAAUGAAAUGAUAGAAUAAAAAAUCAGGAUAACAAAUUAUAAGAAUGUCUUCUACAGACACAUUCAGAUUUGACACAGCCAAGGAAAGAAAGAGUGAAGUUGUUGAUAGGUAGGUAAAUAGAAAUUAUCCAAACUCAAGCUCAAAAAGAAAAAAAAAAGAGCAAAAAACCCAGAAACAACACAGCACUCAAAAGAUGUGGGACAGGGCUUCCCUGGUGGCACAGUGGUUGAGAGUCCACCUGCCGAUGCAGGGGACACGGGUUCGUGCCCUGGUCCAGGAAGAUCCCACAUGCCGCAGAGCGGCUAGGCCCAUAAGCCAUGGCCGCUGAGCCAGCAUGUCCGGAGCCUGUGCUCCGCAACGAGAGAGGCCACGACAGUGAGAGGCCCACAUAACGCAAAAAAAAAAAAAAAAAAAAAAUGUGGGACAAAAUCAUGUGGUCUAAUAUAUGUGUAAUUUGAAUUCCAGAAGGAGAGAGAAAAUGAGACAGAAGAAAUAUUUGAAGAGAUAGUGGUCAAGAAUUUUCUGAAAAUGUUGAAAUGUAUCAAACCACAGUUGCACAAAGCUCAAGAGAAUGCCAAGAAGGAUUUAAAAAACAAACAAACAAAAACUAGACACACUAUAUUCAAACUGCUGAAAGGCCAAAGUUACAGAGAAAAUCUUGUAGACAAAGGGGGAAAAAAAGUGUUAUAUACAAACCUGUGCAAGCCAAACAACAGUGGAGUGAUGUCUUUAAAGUGCGAGAAGAAAAAAUCUGAUGACUCUGAAUUCUAUGCCCAACAAGACUAUCUUUUAAAGAUGAAGGAAAACUGCUUUUUCAGCCAAAAACUGGGAAAAUGCAAUAGCAUAUCUAUGCUACAGAAAAAUGUUAAAGGAAGUUCUUUUUUUUUUAAUAAAUUUAUUUAUUUA